GGAGGGGAGGAAGGAGUUACAGGUGUGUUUUACCGGAGGGGAGGAGGGAGUUACAGGUGUGUUUUACUGGAGGGAAGGAAGGAGUUACAGGUGUGUUUUACUGGAGGGGAGGAAGGAGUUACAGGUGUGUUUUACUGGAGGGGAGGAAGGAGUUACAGGUGUGUUUUACUGGAGGGGAGGAGGGAGUUACAGGUGUGUUUUACUGGAGGGGAGGAGGGAGUUACAGGUGUGUUUUACUGGAGGGGAGGAGGGAGUUACAGGUGUGUUUUACUGGAGGGGAGGAGGGUGUGUUUUACUGGAGGGGAGGAGCGGAGUUACAGGUGAGUUUUACUGGAGGGGAGGAGGGAGUUAUAGGUGUGUUUUACUGGCGGGGAGGAGGGGGUUACAGGUGUGUUUUACCUUGAGGGGAGGAGGGAGUUGCAGGUGAGUUUUACUGGAGGGGAGGAGGGUGUGUUUUACUGGAGGGA
ensembl:lncRNA